rnacentral:rRNA from 1 species
UACGAAGGGGGCUAGCGUUGCUCGGAAUCACUGGGCGUAAAGGGUGCGUAGGCGGGUUUUUAAGUCAGGGGUGAAAUCCUGGAGCUCAACUCCAGAACUGCCUUUGAUACUGAAGAUCUUGAGUUCGGGAGAGGUGAGUGGAACUCCGAGUGUAGAGGUGAAAUUCGUAGAUAUUCGGAAGAACACCAGUGGCGAAGGCGGCUCACUGGCCCGGUACUGACGCUGAUGUGCGAAAGCGUGGGGAGCAAACAGG